AUACGGAGGGGGCUAGCGUUGUUCGGAAUUACUGGGCGUAAAGCGCGCGUAGGCGGGCUGGUCAGUCAGGGGUGAAAUCCCGGGGCUCAACCCCGGAACUGCCUUUGAUACUGCCAGUCUAGAGGUCGAGAGAGGUGAGUGGAAUUCCGAGUGUAGAGGUGAAAUUCGUAGAUAUUCGGAGGAACACCAGUGGCGAAGGCGGCUCACUGGCUCGAUUCUGACGCUGAGGUGCGAAAGCGUGGGGAGCAAACAGGAUUAGAAACCCUAGUAGUCC
rnacentral:rRNA from 1 species